UACGUAGGAGGCAAGCGUUGUCCGGAAUUACUGGGCGUAAAGCGCGUGUAGGUGGUGGGACAAGUCUGCUGUGAAAGCGCCUGGCUUAACCGGGCGAGGUCGGCGGAAACUGUCCGACUCGAGGACGGUAGAGGGGGGUGGAAUUCCCGGUGUAGUGGUGAAAUGCGUAGAGAUCGGGAGGAACACCUGUGGCGAAGGCGGCUCACUGGCUCGUAACUGACGCUCAGGCACGACAGCGUGGGGAUCAAACAGG
rnacentral:rRNA from 1 species